UAGCCUUAGCGGUGGAUC
rnacentral:rRNA from 1 species